rnacentral:lncRNA from 1 species
AUCCCCAUCCCAUCCCAUCCAAUCCAUCCUAUAUCCCCACCCCGUCCCAUCCCAUCCCAUCCAUCCCAUAUCCCCAUCCCAUCCCCAUCCCAUAUCCUCAUCCCCAUCUCCAUCCCCAUCUGAUCCCGAUCCCAGUCCUGAUCCCAUCCCAUUCCCACCCCAUUCCCAUUCCCACCCCAUUCCACUGGGAUGGAAAUGGGACUGAGGUGGAAACGGGAAAGGGGUGGAAAUGGGAGGGGGAUAGGAAUGGGAUUGGGGUGGGAGUGGGAAUGGGGAUGGCAUGGGAAUGGGAUUGGCGUGGGAAUGGGAUGGAAAUGGGAGUGGGAUGGGAAUUGGACUGGGAUGGGAAUGGGAUGGAAAUGGGAAUGGGAUGGAAAUGGGAAUGGGAUGGAAAUGGGGAUGGGAUGGAAAUGGGACUGGAAUUGGAGUGGGAAUGGGAUGGAAAUGAGAAUGGGAUGGGAAUGGGGAUGGGAUGGGAAUGGGAGUGGGGUGAAAAUGGGGAUGGGAUGGAAAUGGGAGUGGGAAUGGGAUGGAAAUGGGGAUGGGAUGGAAAUGGGAGUGUGAUGGGAAUAGGGAUGGGAUGGAAAUGGGAAUGGCAUUGGAAUGGGGCCGGGAUGCUCCGUCACAGGGAUGCUCCGUCACAGGGCUGCUCGUCAGGCUGGGCUGUUAAUUGCAAGGCACACCGCUGUCUAUCGUUGCCCGCAUCUCCACUGGCUUUGGGUGCUGCUCUGCUGCAGCCCUCGGCCCCAUUCUGUGCACGGGGGCAGGAAUUGCACCGCGUCCCUAUCAGCACCCAGCGCUGCCAGCAGGGAGGGAGUGGAUCUGCGCACGGGGAUGGGUGCAGGGCGAGGGUGGGGGCGCAGGGGGAGGGUGGGGGUCUUUUGGGGGUACGGUGGGGGUUGUGGGGGCACCCCAGGCAUCCCAUGGCAUUAAGGGGCACAGCUGACCUCUUGGAGAUGGGGUGGGGGGCCCACGUGGGGCUGCGAUGGGUGCUGAUGUGGGGCUGUGAUGGGUGCCAGUGUGGGGCUGUGAUUGGUGCUGAUGUGGGGCUGCGAUGGGUGCUGAUGUGGAGCUUCAGUGGGUGC